CUCCUUGUAAAUUAGCGAUGAAGUUCUGGUAUGUAAAACCAGGGGGCCGGGUUCGAUUCCCGACGAGGACG
rnacentral:tRNA from 1 species